rnacentral:rRNA from 1 species
UAAAUUUCUUUAAACAAACCGAACCCUUUAAUUUUAUUGAGUAAUUCUAUAUCAUUAUAGAAUCUAUAAUGUUAAAACUAGUAACAAGAAGAAGACCUUCUCUUAAAUGCAAGUAUAAAUCAGCAAGAACCCACCACUGAUAAUUAACAUCCAUGAAAUUAUAUUAGCAACUCCCCAAGAAAACCCUGAUAAAUUUUAUGUUAACCUAACACGAGAGCAUUCAAAGAAAGAUUAAAAGAAAAAGAAGGAACUCGGCAAAUAAUAACCCCGCCUGUUUACCAAAAACAUCGCCUCUUGAGAAAUUAUAAGAGGUCCAGCCUGCCCAGUGAUUUAUUCAACGGCCGCGGUAUCUUAACCGCGCGAAGGUAGCAUAAUCAAUUGUUCUUUAAAUGGGGACUUGUAUGAAUGGCACCACGAAGGUUGUACUGUCUCCUUUUUUUAAUCAGUGAAACUAAUCCCCCCGUGAAGAAGCGGGGAUAAAAAUAUAAGACGAGAAGACCCUAUGGAGCUUCAAACUAAGUAACAAAUAUUUUGUGUUUAAAAUUUUCCAGAAUAAAAACCCUUAUUGUUAUAUUAUGAUUAAUAGUUUUAGGUUGGGGCGACCGCGGAGUAAAACUCAACCUCCGCACUGAAAGAAUCUACUUCUGAGCCAAGAGCCACGACUCUAAGUACCAAUAAAUUGACAUCAAUUGACCCAAUAUUUUGAUCAACGAACCAAGUUACCCUAGGGAUAACAGCGCAAUCCACUUCAAGAGACCCUAUCAAAAAGUGGGCUUACGACCUCGAUGUUGGAUCAGGGUAUCCCAGUGGUGCAGCCG